ACCUACACUUAAUGAAGCCUCUGCAAUUGUUUUAGCUGCAGCUGAACAAGCUCGUUUGAAAGCUGAUCUUCAGCAACCUGAACAAGAAGGAACAAGGAAACCUUGGGAUCCCAUUCCAUUCAAUGAAGUAGAAAGGAAGAAGAAAAUGAAGAAUGACAGAAAGCAACAGCCUACUAAACAAUUAGAGAGUCUUAAGUAUCCAGUUUUAGAUGCUGAAAAGGCAGAGGAAGCUCGACUGAAGAAGAAUAUGAGCGCCGAAAAAGCUAAUGCAUAUGCUGAGACUCUCCAACUUCUUUCUGAGCUACAG